rnacentral:rRNA from 1 species
UACGGAGGUUGCAAGCGUUGUUCGGAAUGACUGGGCGUAAAGGGAGCGCAGGCGGCCAAGUCAGUCUGAAGUGAAAGCCCGGGGCUUAACCCCGGAAUAGCUUUGGAUACUGCCUGGCUUGAGUGUGCGAUAGGAAAGCGGAAUUCCAGGUGUAGCGGUGAAAUGCGUAGAUAUUAGGAGGAACACCAGUAGCGAAGGCGGCUCUCUGGACUGUAACUGACGCUGAGGCACGAAAGCGUGGGGAGCAAACAGGAUUAGAUACCCCGGUAGU